AUGUACCGGGGCUAAACGUGCCGCCGAAGCUGCGGGAUGACCGUUGGUCAUCGGUAGGGGAGCGUUCUAAGGGCGUUGAAGCCAGACCGGAAGGACUGGUGGAGCGCUUAGAAGUGAGAAUGCCGGUAUGAGUAGCGAAAACAGAGGUGAGAAUCCUCUGCGCCGAAAGCCUAAGGGUUCCUGAGGAAGGUUCGUCCGCUCAGGGUUAGUCGGGACCUAAGCCGAGGCCGAAAGGCGUAGGUGAUGGACAACAGGUUGAGAUUCCUGUACCACCUCCUUCCCGUUUGAGCGAUGGGGGGACGCAGGAGGAUAGGGCGAGCAGGCGGCUGGAAGAGCCUGUCCAAGCCGCAAGGCUGAUCCGUAGGCAAAUCCGCGGAUUGUAAGGCCAAGCGGUGAUGGCGACGGAGUCAUCCGGAAGUCCCCGAUUUCACACUGCCAAGAAAAGCCUCUAGCGAGGGAAGAGGUGCCCGUACCGCAAACCGACACAGGUAGGCGAGGAGAGAAUCCUAAGGCGCGCGGGAGAACUCUCGUUAAGGAACUCGGCAAAAUGACCCCGUAACUUCGGGAGAAGGGGUGCUCGUUUGGGUGAAGAGCCCGAACGAGCCGCAGUGAAAAGGCCCAAGCGACUGUUUAUCAAAAACACAGGUCUCUGCGAAGCCGAAAGGCGACGUAUAGGGGCUGACACCUGCCCGGUGCUGGAAGGUUAAGGGGAGCGCUUAGCGGAAGCGAAGGUGCGAACCGAAGCCCCAGUAAACGGCGGCCGUAACUAUAACGGUCCUAAGGUAGCGAAAUUCCUUGUCGGGUAAGUUCCGACCCGCACGAAAGGUGUAACGACUUGGGCGCUGUCUCAACGA
rnacentral:rRNA from 1 species